UCCCUCACGUCUCCUCUCUCUCUCUCUAGCCGGCCAUACCUCUCUCUCCUCUCCCUCAUCUUCUCUCAUCAAUUCCACCUCCAUUGAGUAUGAUUCCGGACAAAGUCCAGGAAUUAAAGUUGUUCUACGGAGCGUGGUCUUUCCGAAUAUCCAAGAAAAAUUACGAUCGGACAACGUGGGCUUCGGUUGACUUGGUCAAAGAGUUGGGUUUUGCUCAAAACCCUUGAGGUGCAUCUCAAGGAUUUGACGUGGAGUGCAUGGCAUGCGAAUUUGAUUUCAUGUCUUUGAAAACCGUCAUUGGGAAGUGGUUCAAUCAUCUUUUGCUCGAUCUCUUGAAGGAAGGAAAUUGUAAAUUUAUUUGAAGUCUUUUAAUUUCAGAUAUUAUGUAACCUCUAAAUUUACUCUUUUAACUAGCUGUGGAAUUUGGGCCGUAGUGCCAAUAUUGUAAAUCUUUAAACUUGGGAAUUUGGUUUGUAAAUGAUCAUUUGGAACUCUCUCUUUUGGGUAUUAUCUAUACUAUGCGAAGAUCAUUUAAUGAAAUAGAUUAUUUAUUUAUGUUAAAAAUCGAGGACGUGACA